UCGUUCAGCAGAAUCAGCCUCUCCGAAUCCAGCACAUCCAACAGGUUCUUCUGCAGCUCCAUUUUCCUAGACGACUCGCCCCACCUCUUCUCCACCACUGUAAGCUCGUUCAGAACAAUAUCGUACUCCACACUUUUCAUAACUAAAUCUGCCAUCACCAUAUCAAUGUCCGUUUCUUUAGCUUUGGCUUUUACAGGGGAUACAGUUUGAGUAGUCUGGAAAGACAGUGAACUCUCCGCAUCCGAAUCAAUAACUUCUCCAGUGUAUUCAUCAUCAAAAUUCAAGAUCGGAAUCG
rnacentral:lncRNA from 1 species